ACCUUCUCCGUUGAGCCUGGUCCCUGGAGGUUCCCACCGUCAGCGCAUUUUAAUGAAAGGAGAGUCACCUUCCUGAAAGCCACUGUCCGCUGAGCACACACAGCUGUUGACAAGACACCUCGCCGUACUAAACACCAUGGGGACAGCUGGUUCUUGGAGUUUCAGCAUUUUCUACUGGGAAACAAAGGCAAAACUGUUUCAUCCAACUAUGCCUCUACUGGACAUCACACCUGUGUACUUCUGUACCAUGUGCCCCAUGCUGUCAGGUAGCCCGCUUGGUUGAUGUGGUGCUGGGGAUCAAAGCCAGGGAUUCACGCAUGCCAGGCAGGCACUCUACCACCUGAGCAGGGGAGCGGGGGAAUCAGUCCUACAAGGGUGCUGAACAGCUGGGCUCCUUGGUUUUGCUGUUCUCAAAUAGUCUCAUGUAGUCUAGGCUGGCUUUGAACUUGCUACGUAGCAUAGCAUGCCCUUGAAUUCCUGAUCCCCCUGCCUCCACCUCCUAAGCAUCAGCCAGGAUGGCAGGUGUGGGCCACUAUGGCAGCUCAGAGGCUUUCUGGGGAGAGUUGGGAGGUUCCUGCUUCAGAUGGGAAAGUCUGGAAAACAUUUCCCCUUCAGUUUGCAGAAGCUGCCCCUAAGGGCAGAAAUGACCCCCGGAGUGUUACAGUUUCAAAGAUGAUGGACAGCAGAGGUUUCCAAGAAGCAGGCAGCUCAACCCAGCAGUCAUAGGUCAGUGGGGUGCUUUUAUGGUUUCCUGCUCAAAGGUCAGAUUCAGCAUGCUCCUGUGGAGGCCCAAAUUACUCAAGGUAAGAGAAUCUGAGCUUGCUUUACCCAGGAGGGCUACAUAAGGGGAUGAUUUGACCACGGGUGUGGUUACCAGGUGUUUGGAGGGGUCUGCAUUUGGCUUUAUCUAGCAAGGGGGAGGUCUUUUGCCUCUCCCCUUGGCAUUGUUAUAAAAAGCCCUUCGGACUAAAGUUCUGGGCUGUUGGGCAUUGAUCCAAGUCCUCCGAAGCUAUCCUGUGUUUCUGUCUUUCUUCUGUCAACUAGGUCCUCUAUCUAAUAUUUUCUUAUUCCCCUCUCCUCAAGAGUACCCAGGGUAAAGUGGGGGCAGAUACCCCACAUACUCCAUGGACCAGGAAGCAGAGACCCCUGCCUGAGAAGCCUCCCUUAAUCCACUGCAGCCUCACUGUCUGAAACAUCUGCCUCGUGGCCCUCGGUUCAGGCCCUGUUUGGGGGAUCUUAUUGCUACAAUAAACCCAGGACAAAAGCUGCAGUUCCUGGUCACAGUCCAUCAUGGCAGGCAGUGACAGUGACAGGAGCCUGAGAGAGCAGGUUCAGCAGCCCUGGUCAAGAGCAGAGAGCAGUGGGUUAAUAUGCAUGUGUCCCCAUCUGGCUUUCUCCUUUUGUACUGUCCAGAGCCCGCCCGGGAAAUGGUGCUGACCCCAUUCAGAGUGGCUCUUCCUAUCACAAUCAGACUAAUUAAGAUCCCUCACAGACAGGCCAGGAACCAGCCUCAUUUUACAUCCUUCACUGAGACUCCUUUCCCAGGUAAUUCUACAUUGUGCCCAGUCGGCCAUGGAAGCUGACCUUCCAUUCCUCUCAGCCCGCCCCUCCAUUAUUCCUCUCAGCCCGCCCCUCACUGCUCCUGAGCUUAUUUGCCCUGUCUGUGGAGUCCCUUUCUGGCCCACCCCAGGACUCCUAGGUCCCUCAGCCCUGAAUCCCCCUGAAACUGACUCUUUUCAAACCCUGAUCCCUCUGCUUGACCCCAUGGAAAAGUUCAUAAUAGUAUAAAUUGAGCUAAGAAACUAGGUUCUUUUUUAAAUAUACUAGUUUGUUUUUUGAGAAUGUUGUGCAUACACACAAUAAGUUUUGAUCAUAUUCACCUCCCGUUCUUCCUCCUAAAUCCCAGAACCACCCUCAAUCCCCUCCCAACUUCAUACCCUCUUUAGAAUAGUUUUUGCAUUUUAUGUGUAUGAAUACCUUGCCUGUAUGUUUAUAUGUACACCGCGUGAAUACCUGGUGCCCUCAGAGUUCAGAAGUGGAGACCGAAUCCCCUGGAAUAGGAGUUGUGAAUGGUUGUAAGCAACCACGUGGGUGCUGAGAAUUAAACCUGGGUCUCUGGAAAAACAUCCAGUGCUCCAAACUGCUGAGUCAUCUUUCCAGCCCUUUCCUUUGUGUGUGUGUGUGUGUGUGUGUGUGUGUGUGUGUGUGUGUGUGUGUUAUCUCUUUAUUCUUUUUUUUCCUCUUUUUAUUUAAAUUUUUUUUUAUUUAUUUUAAACAUCAACCACAGAUCCCCUUCUCAUCCCUCCUCCCACUCCCCCCAGCCUCCCCCUGACCCUCCUCAUACCCUCCUCCAAAAGGGUAAGGCCUCCCAUGAGGAGUCAGCAAAGCCUGGUACAUUCAGUUGAGGUAGUAUCAAGCCCCUCCCCUCUGCAUCAAGGGUGAGCAAGGUGUUUCAUCAUAGGUAAUGGGCUCCAGAAAGCCAGCUCAUGCAUCAGGGAUAGAUCCUGAUCUCACUGCCAGAGGCCCCUCCAGCCCUCCCCUCUUAAAAAAAUUCACCAAGACCAAUUUGCACUUGGCUCAUAUACUCAUGGGUAUAGGGUCAUCCCCCAGAAUGUGGUCCAUUUACCAGGGGUCAUAUCCUUGAAGAAAUCUGACUCUCCCUCUUCCAGAAGCCAUCAGUUGUCAUUAGCCCCUCAGCUCGGAGUGGGGGCUCUUGAGCUCCUCCAUACCCCAUGCUGGACUGUAACAGGCUGUGUGUUCAUGAGUGCAGAGAGCCUGUCCUGCCGAGUAGGCACUGUAUGUCAUGGUCUUCCCUGACCUCUGGCUCUUACAAUUUUUUUCACCUGCUCUCUGGUAAUGGUCCCUGAGCCUCGGAGGGUGUGGGGUGUGAUAUAGAUAAGGGACUUGAAUCUUAAAUUUUUCUGACUGAACAAUGAAACUUCCUGGUUUCGGGGGAGAGGCAAAACAGCUUGACCACACAGCUGCCAUGACAGGCUUCUGUGACAGGCUUACUGUCAGGCAACACCCAGAUCCAGGAGAAGCCAUGAGCUGACCCCACCCAGGGAAGGCCUGAGUCUAAGAGGAAACAUUCUAAACAUUCCCUAUAUCCCUAGACAAAUGUCAACCAAUCAGGGUCCUGAACCCUGGAAAUCCCCUCACCCCAAUCUCUGCUAUGAUAAAAACCCCACCCUGCCUGGGCUCAGGGCUCUCUGCUCUCAUUGCUGUGUUGAACAGAGAGACCAAGCUCCAAGCUUGAAAUAAAGGCUCUUUGCUUUUACAAUGGGAUUCAGUCUCUAUGGUGGUCUUUUAGGAGUCCCCAUGAUCUGGGCAUAACAGUCCCAAGAACUUUCCACCAUUUCUAAUACCAUUUCUUGUCUUAGUUCUCUGUAGUCGGAAGUUUUCCUGUGUCCCAGCUGGCUGUCAGUUGGGACAAAUCUCUCCCACUCGUGUCCCCCAAGUAAGCACACAGAGGCUCAUAUUAAUUAUAACUGCUUGGCCAUUAGCUCAGACUUAUUACUGACUAGCUCUCACACUUAAAUUAACCCAUAAUUCUUAUUUAUGUUUAGCCAUUGACUUGGUAUCUUUUCUCAGUUCUGCCUUGUCAUCUUGCUUCUUCUGUGUCUGAGUGGCAGCUCCUGACUCAGCCUUCCUCUUCCCAGAAUUCUCAUUGCCUGCUUACCCUGCCUAUACUUCCUGCCUGGCUACUGGCCAAUCAGCAUUUUAUUUAUCAACCAAUCAGAACAAAUACAUAUUCACAGCAUACAGAACGACAUCCCACAGUACUUCCCCUUUUCUGUCUAAUCAAAAAGGAAGGUUUUAAGUUUAACAUAGUAAAAUUACAUAUAAUAGAACAGUUAUCAAGCAAGAAUUACAGUUACAAUAUUUAGUCUAUUUGUAUUUGACAAAAUUAAAGAAAAUAUUCUAUCUAUCUUAUAUUUAUGAAUCUAAAGUUUCAUAUCUGAUUUAUCUUUUAUCAUAACCAAGGAAAAUUACAACUACCUAGUCUUCAACUACAUCAAAGACCUCAGAAGGAUAUAAUAUUACCUAAGUAAAAAGGAAGAGCAUUAUAAGCAACUUCCAAAAAUCUAGAAUGACAGAGACAGCUGACUGCCUGGACAGUCACCCAAUAUUCCUCUGCAACAUUGGGGCAUCAGUCUUCAGCCUAUAUGCCUAGAGUCUCUCAGUCACUUCUCUCUGUGUCCUGUAGAAUGUCUGGCAGUUUCUUCUGUGAAGCAGAAACCUGAAGGACUAUCUCACCUUACAAAGUUCAGUGGUCACCUUCCUAUGGAUCCUGCAUGUCCAGUUUAUACAACAUACUGUCAAUCAGUUGACAUAAGGGCACUUUUUUGCCCAGUGGCUAACUUUUGCCACAAAGAAAGCAAAUUCCAUAAUGAGUUUCUUCAAUGCCCAUCAUCCUCCUUGAAGUAAUUGGUGCUGCCAGAAGCAGACUUGUCUCGUUGUCCAGAAAAGUCUUAAGUUUUUAAUACAUUUUAAAUGCCAUAUUCUGUAGGUCUUUGAAGUAUUUGAAGAUUACCUAACUAAUUGAAUUAUAUCUAUGUAUAACUAGAAAACUUAACAUGACUAUAAGUUUGACUAUCAUAGAAGACUAAUUAUUAAUCUGUAUUUUUUAAUUAUCCAUUACAAUCUAAAUGAGUUAUAUAAACAUAACACCUUAAAUGAGAGUAGAAAUAUAUAUACAGUAUAACAAAAUUAACUUUAAAUUUGUAAUAAACUAAAAUCUAUAGCAAUGUAAAACAUUUAUGCUAUAUUUCUAUAUCAGUUCUCUCUGUGGUUCUUUCAGUUGCAGUGAGAAUUCCCUGGCUUCUUUCUGCCAAAGAGUGUUAGCUUUGGCCUCUGGUACUGUUCCCACUGAGCUCCUAUGAGCUUGCUCAGGGUGGGAAAGCAUGUUUGUCUGGCUCAGGAUCUCUCUCAGGACCUGGCUCAUGGGUGAGAGUGUGCAAUGCACUUAGUAACUGCAGAAUAAACUAGCACACUCAGAUGUUAGUUCUGCAUCAAUGCACCUGGCAGUUCCUGGGCAAAUGAGACUUCAGGGCUGACCACCAUCCCAUCUCCUGCCUCUACUCUUAUCAAUUGUAGUAAUCAUUUUUAUAAGAUUGUACCACUUGAAUUCUAUUUGUACUUUUAUUAUUAGUUUCGUGUGUAUCACUAUGUGUAUAGUGUAUGCACAUAUGCAUGCUGUGUGUGUGUGUGUAUGUAUGUGUGUGUCUGUGCGUGUCCUGAGGUUGACCUUGGGUGUCUUCCUUGUCACUCUCCACACUAUGUAUUGAGGCAGGGUCUCUCACUCUUCCUCUGAGCUGGUCUGGUCUUCUUACUUGCUCUGGAUAAUUCCCUGUCUCCGUUGGACCACUGGGGUUACAGGCUGCUCUCACACCCACCUGACUUCCUAACUCAAAAUUUGUGAAGCAGACACUUUACCUGCUGACAUCUCCUUGGCUCCUUCCUACACUUAGAAUGAAGUCUCUCCUGUUUUGUCUACAGAUUGAUUCUAAAAACAAAAUAUCUCUGCCAAUGUUACAGUUACAUAAAGCUUAUUAUAAGACAAAUACUUUGGAAAUCCUGUGCCGCUGCUAGCCUUGUGUGGUUCACAGAUUUCUCACACACUCCAGCCAAAUGCACUCUCUUGAACCUCACCUGCUCAGAAGCACGAUGGUUUUUUUUUUGUUUUUUGUUUUUUUUUUUUGGCUACUCCUUUGCGUGGGUCUUGCUUGUAUGUGUUUUCCAUGAUUUUUAAAGAAUCUUUCUUUUUGUCUUAUUGAGAGAAAAAUGUGGCCUCCUCAUUCAAUGACUAGAUGCUUCCAAGGCUUCAGUAUCACUUGUUGAAUAAAAACCACUUGCUUCUUGGAGUCUUUUUAUUUAAGUUCUAUCUUGGACCAGUUGUUCAAAAGCUUCCCAUGUAACUUCUUCUGACUAGCCUUUUCAUUUCUUUCUUGGAAUAACUCUAUUUUUUUCUUAAAUUCUUUUCUAGGUUUAAUUUUCAAUAUCUAAGUAAAUCCCCAAUUCAUCUUGUUUUGGAAAGACAGUGGAGCUCAUCUCUAGCUCCUGAGCGUCCUCAAACAAGCCCUUGUCUUACUGUGUUGAGGUGGAGCUGACUUAGGGAAGAGCCAUACACACAUUCGAGAGCAGGCACAUAUGGGAGCCUCAGCUCAAGUUCACCCAGCCCUUCAGGGAACAUUCUGUAACAUGCUGUACUUAUAACCACUCCUUUGUUCUGAGAGGGCUUCUGGGAAAGACACUAGAGAAGGGAAGAGGGCAGGAACAUCAGUAGUGUUUCUUGGAUAGAGUGCUACCUGAGCCAGGUGCAACAGUUCCCUGGGGAACUGGGAAGACCCCAGACCUGUAUUCUGCAUGAAUGUGAUGCAGGCCUUGGAUCCAUCUGGCCCUCUUUAUUGCUCAGUUGUCGCUUUCACCUGUGUGGAGGGACUUAGAUGCUCUGCAGCCUCCUGCUUAUCUCUAAGCACGUGUUGGGAUGGUCAGCACGGGGAGGGUAGCAGCUCAGGUCCUUUUCUUAGCACUUCCAAGGGAUUGCUGUGCUGUAGCUAGGUUCCAUCACUGGCUCCACGAUCCCACCAGCUCAAGGCAUGCUCUUUGUGUGUGUGUAUUGGGGGUGGGGGGCAGGGGUGUUGUUCUGUAUGAGCUUUAUUUUUCUCUUUGUGGAAGCUCUUGUUUUCCCUUGUGGAAGGGUGGAGUGGUGGGAAUUUACGUAGCUGAAUCUGUACAUUUCUUCAUUUAUUUCCAUGUUUAUGUGCAUAUGUGUGCUAUAUACAUGUGGGAGAGGUACACUUAUCCACACAUGGAUAUGCAUGGGGAGGUCUGAGGUUAAUGCUGAAUGUCUCCCUCAAUCACUCUUUACCUUAGUUUUUAGACAUGGUCUCUCACUGAACCUGGGUCUUGUCAUUUUGGCUGGCUUAACUGGCCAGUGAGCCCCCACGCUGCCCACCUGUCUCUGCCCACCCAGUGCUGGGUUAUUCUGGCUGGAGGGUGGGGGUGGGGAUCUUGAUUCCGGCCCACAAGCUUGUGAAGUAAGCACUUUGCUCACCCAGUCAUCCCCUGGCCCCCUACUUGUGUAGCUUCUGAUAAAGACACUUUAUACCAAAGACACGAGUGCUUUUUUCUUUUCUUUUCUAUUUUUUAAUCACCUUGAUAUGUGCCCUUUUUAUUACCUAGCGCGUUUUCCUGGGCAGAUGCUGAGACCCCAUUGGCCUGUCAUGCCUUCUCUCUAUAACUACUUUCUUUUGCUCAUGCUCUUGACAGUUUUCCUUAAUUCUAUUAUCUAGUGCAGCUAUUAAAUUUUUAUAGCAGAAAUUACAUUCUAAUUCCUAAGCAAUUAUUUUCUGAAUAUCCUAUUUUUAAUGCGGCCUGCUCAUGUUCCACAGACAGCAAUCUCACUUCAGAAUUCUGAGAUUCUAAUAAAAAGUUUUAAGGUUUUUUCUCUCAUCCUAGAUAUAUUUCUUGUGAUACUAGAUUUUCUUUUUAACUUUUUGUUUUGAACUUUGAACAGUUGUUUUGUUUAUGUGCAUGUGUGUAUGUACAUACAUGUGUGCAUUCACCUGUCUGUGGGUACACACAAAAACUAAAGGACCGCUUUGGAUGUCAUUCCUCAGGUACCAUCCACCUGAGCUUUGAAAUAGGGUCUCUCACUGGCCAGAACCUCACGGAGACCAUGAGGGCUGGCCAGCAACACCCAGGGAUCUGCCUGUCUCUGCCUCACCAUGCCUGGCUAUUUUGGGCAUUGGUUCUGAGUACUGAACUCAGGUCCUCAGGCUUGCAGCCAUCCUUCCAGCCCCUUUGGUUCAUUCUUUAUUUUGCUUUCUGAUAUUGGUUCUUCUUUCUCUGUUAAUCGGGUAUUGUUCCUCAAAAUGCCUAUGAUUCUUGUGUGUUAAGGAAAGAAAGGAGAAGGCUAUUUUGGGGACAAUUGACAUGGGUGUCCUCCAUCAUUUCUCUAGCAAUGUUUUCCCCCCAUGCUCAGGGCUGGCUGGGAGCUGUUUGCACAGGUACAGAGUAUGUUAGAAGAAAGGUGACCACAUAUGGUGUGUGGGAACCAGACAAGAACACCACUGCUCUCUUUACAAGAUAGGAGAUUUACCCGAUCAGCAGCGAAGUCCAAAACUGAGGUCCGUGGCUGCUGCAAGCUGACUUGUCCCCAUAAAGUCAGAGAGCAGAAAUGUGCUUGAGUGAGUGGUUGGACUGUUCAGUGAUUAGGUUCCACAUCUCUCUCCUAAUCUCUUUCCUGCUAAUUCUGAGCUUGAACCAUCUCUGAGUGCCCAUGGGGGGACCCCCC